UCUCUGGUGGUCUGGUGGUUAGGACCCUGUGCUUUCACUGCUGAUGGCCCAGGUUUGAUUCCUGGUCGGGGAA
rfam:TPA: Bos taurus chromosome 15, whole genome shotgun sequence.